rnacentral:rRNA from 1 species
GUGUCAGCCGCCGCGGUAAGACGAAGGUGGCAAGCGUUGCUCGGAAUCACUGGGCAUAAAGCGCGCGUAGGUGGCUUGAUAAGUCGGUGGUGAAAUCCCAUGGCUCAACCAUGGAACUGCCGUCGAUACUGUCAGGCUUGAGGGCGGUAGGGGAGAGUGGAACUCCUGGUGUAGCGGUGAAAUGCGUAGAUAUCAGGAGGAACGCCGGUGGCGAAAGCGACUCUCUGGGCCGUUCCUGACACUAAAGCGCGAAAGCUAGGGGAGCAAACAGGAUUAGAAACCCUCGUAGUCC